AGCCGUUAGACAAUAUGAGAAAACGAAUUCCUCGCGAGCCAUUUAGGUACGCGCGGAUAGUACCGACGAACAACAUGGUAAAACCAACGGUUUUGAAACGCUUAGGUAUUCGGCUACAACGCGAUGAAAAAUCGUAAAAUACAGACACAGUGUACGCGUAGUAAACACGUUAAAAAAUAACGAAAUAUGCAAAACAAAACUUUGCAUUUCGGAACCAUUGACUCUAACAAUUGCAAACCUGGAGCUUAUC